UACGUAGGGGGCGAGCGUUGUCCGGAUUUAUUGGGCGUAAAGGGCUCGUAGGCGGUUUGUCGCGUCGGGAGUGAAAACCAUGGGCUUAACUCAUGGCUUGCUUUCGAUACGGGCAGACUAGAGGUAUGCAGGGGAGAACGGAAUUCCUGGUGUAGCGGUGAAAUGCGCAGAUAUCAGGAGGAACACCGGUGGCGAAGGCGGUUCUCUGGGCAUGAUCUGACGCUGAGGAGCGAAAGUGUGGGGAGCGAACAGG
rnacentral:rRNA from 1 species